UACGAAGGGGGCUAGCGUUGCUCGGAAUCACUGGGCGUAAAGCGCACGUAGGCGGCUUCUUGAGUCAGGGGUGAAAUCCUGGAGCUCAACUCCAGAACUGCCUUUGAUACUGAGGAGCUCGAGUCCGGGAGAGGUGAGUGGAACUCCGAGUGUAGAGGUGAAAUUCGUAGAUAUUCGGAAGAACACCAGUGGCGAAGGCGGCUCACUGGGCCGACCCUGACGCUGAGGCGCGAAGGCGUGGGGAGCGAACGGG
rnacentral:rRNA from 1 species